GGUCCAGACGGGCAGAGCCCCUGGAAGAGGCUCUUAAAGACUCUUCAUAAUUAGGAAGAAGAUGUUGAUGAUUAAAUGAGAUCCUGGAACCACAAAGUGCUCUUAUUCAUCAGGGAAGGCCUCCUCUCUGCCAGUGGGCGACCUUUCGCACUUGGCUGCUGCUCUGUCUUUCCCCAAUCUCUUUGUGGAAAGGGAAAAAAAAAUCCCAGAACAAUGGGCCUCCGGGAAGCUUCGAUGCACUGGAUGGAACAGAAGGGGGUUUUGUUUCUGGAGAUGAGAAAACAGGAGUAAACAGACCUCAGUGACUUGCCCAGGAUGACACAACUAGUAAGUGUCUGAGGCUGAAUUUGAACUCUGGAAGAAAGCUGUUCCUGAUUUGGGGUCUGGAAUUCUAAGCACUAAGCCACCAUUUUGCUGCUCCCAUGAAAAACCUUGGCAGUCAUCUAAUAUGACCUUUCAUUACAG
rnacentral:lncRNA from 1 species